ACGAACGCUGGCGGCGUGCUUAACACAUGCAAGUCGAACGGAAAGGCCCUGCUUUUGUGGGGUGCUCGAGUGGCGAACGGGUGAGUAACACGUGAGUAACCUGCCCUUGACUUUGGGAUAACUUCAGGAAACUGGGGCUAAUACCGGAUAGGAGCUCCUGCGGCAUGGGGGGGGUUGGAAAGUUUCGGCGGUUGGGGAUGGACUAGCGGCUUAUCAGCUUGUUGGUGGGGUAGUGGCUUACCAAGGCUUUGACGGGUAGCCGGCCUGGGAGGGUGACCGGCCACAUUGGGACUGAGAUACGGCCCAGACUCCUACGGGAGGCAGCAGUGGGGAAUAUUGCACAAUGGGCGGAAGCCUGAUGCAGCAACGCCGCGUGCGGGAUGACGGCCUUCGGGUUGUAAACCGCUUUCGCCUGUGACGAAGCGUGAGUGACGGUAAUGGGUAAAGAAGCACCGGCUAACUACGUG
rnacentral:rRNA from 1 species